rnacentral:lncRNA from 1 species
UUUAGAGAAGUUCAGUAAUUCUUCUGGAGAGUAUUCCAAAAAAGAUGCCCAACUGUUUACCUCACUGAACUAAGCCAUAGAAAGGUGUUAUUUCUGACCAUCUGACCACUUUAGAAUCUUCUGGAGAGUAAGAGAUUGGUUUCAGACUGAUGGACUUGACCUCAUCCAACACGCUCUGCAGCUAAAAGACGCAAACGUCCACAAACCGCCAUUACCAAGUCUUGUGACACUCCAGUGGACGACUCCAUUCUGACAGAAAACCCUCAGGAGGAGAUCAACCCGACUGAUCUGCAGGAAAAGCUCCAAGAAGGACACUUUGAUCAAAGGACGAUGAAGGAUGGUAGAGGAUCAGAGUGAUUCUUCUAAAGAAACGAAGAAACUCAGCAG